rnacentral:lncRNA from 10 species
CAAACAAAACAAACAAACAAACAAACAAACAACCAAGAAAGCAUUCUGAAGAGUGCUGGAUUCAAAAUCAGACAGACAAAGCUUCUCCUCUAAGCCGCAUUUCCAGGCAGCAAAGAGAAAUUGAGUGGAAAUGCAUAAAUUGUUGCAAACAAAUGUCUCAUUCAAGAGAGAUUUUCUCAAGAUACCAGGCUCCAUAUGAGGUAGCUGGCCAAGUUCUGCAACUUGACUCUGAGAGCCUGCUGUCUCCACUGAAUUUGAUUAUGUGCUAUCAGGAGAAUCCAUCUACUGCCUGCAGCUGUCGAGCUCCUCUCCUGGACAUCCUAAACUCAAAUGGCAGGGAAAAAAAAACACUGCCAUCUAUUCUGACCUCUGAAGUCACCAUGCCCAUUAACUGAGGAUGAAGAAGACAGAAGGAAUACUGAAUGUCUGAAGAGAGAGAAAACGUUAUAAAAUUAUCCUUUCAAAAGAUGGAAGAAUAAAUUCACUUGGCAAAUGUGAUAUGGACUCACCUGAGGUUUGAAGUCAUCCAAAAAGAAACCAAAAAUCAUGGUUUUGAGAUUUUGUCCAAAUUCCUUCAUUAUCUCAGCACUGCACUAGGAUACUAAUGAGUUUUCGGGAACAGAAAACCCAAUGGAAUAUUAAAAUUGGAAAGAAGAGCUCCUUGAGUUAAUUUCACUGAAGUGCAUCACAACACACUGCACUGUUGUAAGAAUGAAUAUUCAAAUAGGAAUCCAGUCAUGGGAAAAUUAAUUAAGGAAAAUGUUAUUGCUAAUAUUUCUUUUUAUGAAUAUACAUAUGCGGAGACACACAACCAUCUAUUGGCUCCACACUGACAAUAAUAAAAGCCAAACAUUUAUGAGAGUCAAAUGUUCAAGAUCUCUUGCUGAGUUGGUGUUAAAAGAUUUUAAAUAAAAAAAUUAUGAUUCCAGAGAAUUGUUUCUAAAAGACAAAUCAUGUCAUGUCACUCCUUUGCUUAAAAUUCUUCAAUGGAUCCAAAACAUUCUUCAGAAUAAAGUCAAAAUCAUCAGGGAAUUCAAGGCCCUUCACUAUGCGGCUCAUGCAUACUUCCCCUCAUUUCACCUACUGCAUUCUCCUAAAUACAUUGUGCUCUUGCAAAUCUCUGUCUUUGAAC